UGAGGAAUAUUGGUCAAUGGGCGCAAGCCUGAACCAGCCAAGUCGCGUGAGGGAAGACGGUCCUAUGGAUUGUAAACCUCUUUUGUCGGGGAGCAAAGCGCGGUACGAGUACCGUGAAGGAGAGUACCCGAAGAAAAGCAUCGGCUAACUCCGUGCC
rnacentral:rRNA from 1 species